rnacentral:lncRNA from 1 species
AUAUUAUUUUUUUUAUAAAAAAUAUAACUAUAAAAUUAUUUUCUUGUAAAAAAACUACAAACUUAUUUUGAUUAAUUUCAUUAAAUUUAUAAUUAACUACAAUAUUUAAAAUAAAAUAAAAAAUACAUCUUUCACACUUAAUGUUAAAUUUUUUCUUCAUUUUCUCACUGCCAUGUACCCAAAGACUAGCUACUAGCCAAGCAUUGAAAAUCAAGCAAUCAUGUCGACAAUGGACUUCAAAUAGACACAAACGCAGCAAUAUUUGACUACUAUUGGCACCCCAUAAAUUUAGCAAGUUUCCGCGUAUCUUUAAAUUUCUGUCGUACCAAACAAGGCAAGGCAUAACCGAAGUAGGAGUAGAGCACUAGCGCCCAUGUCUAUCUAUGCGUUACAACGUUGUAUAUAUAUAUAAAUCCCAUUGUCUUGUGGGAAACUUCUUUCCACCUUCCUUG